UACUACCACCGGGCACGUCCCCAAGCUGCUCCCAUCCACCACUCCACAUGCUUUUGCCCGUGAGGGAUCCAGUUGUGCUGCAGUGUUGCUGCUGCCGAGCUGGCAGUGGCCUCCUCCACCUCGCGCUCAAUUGUAUGCUUGGCUGGACGCCGGUGCUUUGAUUACCUCGACAACGGUGGCUGCAACUCUGGUGAGCUUCUCAUCUACUGGUUGCACACGCACGCGUCCUCUCCCCAUCUGAUCACCAACGCCGCCUCUCCUCUCGCGAUCCCCAUCUCUCUCACGAGACAGCACCUCUCCUCCCUUUCCCCAUCACUGGCGUUAGGCGGCGAGGACGCCGCAUCCUGGCCACGGCUUCUCCCGGUCAUUUGCCUCCCUCCCAGACUGGCAGCUCAUGCAUCCCGGAGGUGCGGAGCGUGAAUGGCGGUGGGGAUGCAUGAGCUGCCAGUCACCUGCCCGGAGGUGCUGACGCCGGAGACCACCUCCCCAAACAAGUUACAACCCGGUUGUAUUGAAGAUGGUGCAAUUAUUGGUGCAAGAUGUACCAUCUAUUCUCAAUGAUUUUGAUCUAAGGUGUGCACCAAAAUAAUUGAGCUGCUGCAGGCGGCCACAUCCCCAGUCUUCUACGCGAUGCUUCUGCCUGCCACCUCCCUGAAUUAGUGACUACCCGGGAAUCUGGAAGAAGCUGCACCAUGGAAACCCUCUUCAAUACGAACUCAGCAAUCGUGUGUUUUUGGUGGGACGGCGUAG